CCUACGGGGGGCUGCAGUGAGGAAUAUUGCGCAAUGGGGGAAACCCUGACGCAGCAACGCCGCGUGAGUGAGGAAGGUUUUCGGACCGUAAAGCUCUGUCGAGCGGGAAGAAGUGCAUGGUGGCUAAUAUCCAUUAUGCUUGACGGUACCGCUAAAGGAAGCACCGGCUAACUCCGUGCCAGCAGCCGCGGUAAUACGGGGGGUGCUAUUGGGGUUCGGAAGCAUUGGGGGGGCUGAAUGUGUAGGCGGCGAAAGCCCUGGGCUUAACCUAGGAAGUGCAUUUGAAACUGUUCAGCUUGAGUAAGGGAGAGGAAAGUGGAAUUCCUGGUGUAGAGGUGAAAUUCGUAGAGAUCAGGAGGAACACCGGUGGCGAAGGCGACUUUCUGGCCCUAUACUGACGCUGAGACGCGAGAGCGUGGGUAGCAAACAGGAUUAGAUACCCUUGUAGUC
rnacentral:rRNA from 1 species